rnacentral:rRNA from 1 species
AUUGAACGCUGGCGGCAGGCCUAACACAUGCAAGUCGAAUGGUAACAGGAAACAGCUUGCUGUUUCGCUGACGAGUGGCGGACGGGUGAGUAAUGUCUGGGAAACUGCCUGAUGGAGGGGGAUAACUACUGGAAACGGUAGCUAAUACCGCAUAACGUCGCAAGACCAAAGAGGGGGACCUUCGGGCCUCUUGCCAUCAGAUGUGCCCAGAUGGGAUUAGCUAGUAGGUGGGGUAACGGCUCACCUAGGCGGCGAUCCCUAGCUGGUCUGAGAGGAUGACCAGCGACACUGGAACUGAGACACGGUCCAGACUCCUACGGGAGGCAGCAGUGGGGAAUAUUGCACAAUGGGCGCAAGCCUGAUGCAGCCAUGCCGCGUGUAUGAAGAAGGCCUUCGGGUUGUAAAGUACUUUCAGCGGGGAGGAAGGGAGUAAAGUUAAUACCUUUGCUCAUUGACGUUACCCGCAGAAGAAGCACCGGCUAACUCCGUG